ACAAGAUUUCCUUGUCUGAAGAGAAUUUUCUUUUGCAGGAAGAAAUGUGGUAAUGAGGUCAUAUGUAAUCAGAACGUACAGAAUUGCUUUACUGUUAUCUCCAUUUCAAGUGUUUUGGAGGGAGGCUGACAGCAGAAAGCGAUAAUGCAGAAUGGAGGAAUAAGCCAGUGGGGACCAUUGCAAAACCCUAGAUCCAGCAAGGAAAAACCUUUUGGAACGAUGCAGGCAGGGGCUGACUAGUUGGGGAGCAACCCAGCACAUGCUUGGAGAGGAACAUUGCUGGACACAAACAAUCCAGGAAUUUCCAGAACUGCAGCUCAGUUCCUACGAUGGUGACAGAACACAUUUCUCAAGAAAAAGAAAAGAAACCCAACAAACAGAACAAAUCCCAAAACUUGUCGACUUUUCCAGUUCAAUACAGCCUAUCAAAAGGAAAAAAAACCCAACUUCUUUCUGUUUCUGCCUUGCAGGAAUCACCAUUUUAUGAUUAAAGAUUUUCUCUUGAAAGAAAACAAAAUAAAACAAAGGAUAUA